CACGUAGGGUGCAAGCGUUGUCCGGAAUUAUUGGGCGUAAAGAGCGUGUAGGCGGCCAGAUAGGUCGGUUGUGAAAACUGGAUGGCUCAACCUCCAGACGUCGACCGAAACCAUCUGGCUAGAGUCCGGAAGAGGAGAGUGGAAUUCCUGGUGUAGCGGUGAAAUGCGCAGAUAUCAGGAAGAACACCCGUGGCGAAGGCGGCUCUCUGGGACGGUACUGACGCUGAGACGCGAAAGCGUGGGGAGCAAACAGG
rnacentral:rRNA from 1 species